rnacentral:rRNA from 1 species
UACGAAGGGGGCUAGCGUUGUUCGGAAUUACUGGGCGUAAAGCGCACGUAGGCGGACUAUUAAGUCAGGGGUGAAAUCCCGGGGCUCAACCCUGGAAAGCCGGUGGAUACUGUCGGGCUCGAGUCCGGAAGAGGCGAGUGGAAUUCCUGGUGUAGCGGUGGAAUGCGCAGAUAUCAGGAGGAACACCGAUAGCGAAGGCAGCUCGCUGGGACGGUACUGACGCUGAGGCGCGAAAGCGUGGGGAGCGAACAGG